GCCAGAGUGAGAUCAUGUCAGUUGAGAAGUCUGACAGUUUUUUAAUUUUCUGUUAUCCAUACAGUGUUGUAAAGUCAAGAAACUAUGCAUAUUUCCUCAGAAUGAUUUGAUCUUUGUAUGAAAAAAUGCUUUGAAGUGUUUGGAAGCUGCAAUUUAAACAUACAAGACAAUUAAUGUUUCCCUUUUUACUGUCAUUUCAAAAAAUCACCACGACAAAACCGUUCAAGCUAACCAAAAUCCGUUCGCAAUUUAAGUUCCUCAAUAUUUUUUCUUCAUGUUGACAAAGUUUGGCGUGUAUAGUGUACUUCCCCUGUGAGGAGUUUGCAUUAAUUCACAACUGUAAAAUCUCAAAAAUACACAUUCAAAUCAAAAUAGCCGACUUCCUGUUGAUCGUAGCUUAUGACUGUGAAUUAGAAAGUUGUCCGACUUGAUUAGAACAAUUUAUUUACCAAGUUUGGUGUCUGUAGCUAAAACUAACCCCCCCACUUUUGACAAAAGGUGGCGCUAUAGAGUGCCUCUUCCACGCCCUCUUAUGAACUUUUGCCAGUGUCUAGCUGUCACUAAUACUGAUAUGUGUUCUGAGUUUGAUGAAAUUCUAAGCAUGUUAUUUGCCUCAAAAUCACCUGAGAAGUAUUCCAGUUUGACAUGUUGCCACGGCAACAAUAUUUUUAGAUAUCCAAUUUCCCCCAGCAGAUUCAUAUCGGCUGUGUUUUAACAUUAUUCUGAUGAAGUUUGAAGCAAAUCGAAUAAAAAUAAGAUGCUGAAUUCAAAGCAUUUUGAAAAUGACACACUUCCUGCUGCCAGUUGGUGGCACUAUAACUUUGACUCCUAAUAGUCACAUAUAUGCGAUCGACAUCAUACAAUGAAUAAUCUGAUGAAGUUUGAUUAAAAUCAGGAAAUGUAUGUGGAUGGUAUUAGACACUUCCUGUUUCUCAAUUCUCGCCAUAAAUUCAACGCCUCGCCACGAGCAAACCGUUCGAGAUAUCAAUAAUCCCCUGGCAAUUUUUCAUCCCCAAUGUCUUGAGAUCAUGUUGACCGAGUUUGGUGGUAAACGAGUAAAAAACCUAUGACAAGUAUAUCAAAUUCCAGAGCAUGCGCUUUUUACAUAACUCUAAAUAGCUGACUUCCUGUUGGGCGGAGCCCAAUGACAUGCAAUACGAAAAUUGUUCGGCACAAUGAGAUCUAUAUGUGUACUGAGUUUCAUAUGAAUAUGUGCAAGUAUGUGUGAGCUAUACAUCAACAUUUAUGACUGUGUUCCAGGGGGCGCCGUAGAGCCCCUGUACCACGCCCGGGUCCCAGCCUCUGCAGGCUCCUAAAGGGCACAGAUUCCAAAGUGUGUGCAAAUUUUCAAGAGUUUUUGAGUAUGUUAGGGACCCCAAAAGCCCCCACAACUUUGACCAAAAAUAUGAAUAAUAAACCCUAAAUAGCCAACUUCCUGUUGGGCGGAGCCUAUGACAUGCAGUGCGAAAGUUGUUUGGUUUAAUGAGAUCUACAUGUGUACCGAGUUUCAUGUGUCUACGUGCAAGUAUGUAUGAUAUAUGGCCCUCAGUAUUCCAGGGGGCGCUGUAGAGCCCCUGUGCCACGCCCGUGUAUCAGUCUCUGCCCGACCCUAAUGGCCGCAGGUUCCAAUCUGUGUGCCAAUUUUCAAGAGUUUUCGAGCAUGUUAAGGACCCCAAAAGCCCCCGUAACGUUAGAAAAAAAAAAUAAUAAUAAUAAAUAUAGCUGCAAGCAGCGAUGGCGGGCUCAAGCCACCAAUGCCAUCACCACCCCGGUGGCAUCAGGUAAACUGUGCCCAGCGGGCACAUGCAUUCACAAUAUCCCUCUGGCAGUGAGGUUUUAAAGGAUAGAGGGGAGCGUAGAGGGGAGCGUGCAUUUGCAGUGGCUGGGCCACGACUCUGGAAUACCCUGCCUUUAGAGAUCAGACUGGCCCCUUCCUUGUCUAUUUUUAAAUCUUUGCUAAAAACUUUUUUAUUUUCCUUAGUGUACUGACUACUGUGUUAUGCUACAUUUUGAAAUGGGUGGUUUUAAAUUUUUUGUCUGGUCUAUUUUUAUGUAUGUGUAAUAUUCUUGCUCUUAUGUUAAAGCACUUUGGUCAGCCAGGAGGCUGUUGUAAAUGCGCUAUACAAAUAAAUUGAACUUGAACUUGAACUUGAACUUGAUAUGGCAGUUAAAGGGUUAAUCCGAAUCAUCUAGACUUUAAAAUCACAUUCACAGAACAAUAUAUAUAUAUAUAUAUAUAUAACUUUAGUAACACUUUACAAUAAGAUUUCAUUUAUAAACAUUAUGUUAACAUGAACAAUAUUUAUAUAGCAUUCAUUCAUGUCAGUUAAUAUUCCAAACUUAAACAUUAAAACAUUGUUUUAUUGUGAUUUUCUUCCAAGCACAUUUUACCAAUUCCAAACCAUAUCAAUCUUAAUAACUACCAUUAUUUUUUAUUUAAUCAUUUAUGAGUGCUAUACAAUAGUCCAGGAAAGCUGGAAGAGAAAAACAGGUCAAGAAGAACUGACAAAAAGAAUUGCAAAAUAAUUAGGAAAUAAUGUGAAGAUUAAUUUUUAGUCAAUUCUGCAAGACAGACUUUCAGGAAAGGAGGUGGAAUAAAAAUGAGCUCCUAAAUCUUAAUCCCG